rnacentral:lncRNA from 1 species
CUGCUCAAUAUACAAGGUACUGGGUCAGGUUAACAUGAGUACAGAGUAUAAGACACCUCAUUCUUACAGCUUUUCUUCAUUUGUGAACAGGAUGCCUUCAAAUAGCUUUAGUAUGGCUGAGGUAAAUUUCAGUUUAGUUUUCUAACCAAAAUAUUAGAAAUUAUAAGAUAUGUUAAACAACUUUGAAAGACAUUUUCAGUGUCCAAUAGUGGAAAUUUUUUCUUCUAUCUUCACCCAGCUACAAGUGUGAAUCAGCUUUUUUCUCUCUUCCAAGUUUUGAUUGAGGGAUUUUACUUUUGCACUGACCUACUAAUUUGGGAGAGUUAAAGUGCAGUGAUAGACCUGUAACUGAAAUACGGCCCUUAACUGUAAAGCUCAUCCUUGGCAGUUAUGCAACGAUUUUUCACUUCCUCUUAGAAUCCUUCUUCAUAUGACACUCCUAAUUAGGCUCAAAAAGCAUUGAGAAAGGAGGGCAGUGAAGAGAUAUUUUUAUCAGUUACUGCAUUUUGAAAGAGCACUUGCAAUAAAACAAAAGGGAAAGAACCAGUGGAUAGAAGAUUCCUGAGAGGAGAACAAGGGAAGGAAUAGCAGAAGAGUGAGGACUUUCAAGCACAGAUGCAGGCAAAUGCCUCAAACUCCUAUUGUGAGGGAAACAAGAAAGCACCUUAUGUCCAGCCUGAGAAGGCACUUGUUAAGACUGCUAUUGAUAGGAGAGACAGUUUCAUCCUUACAAGAAAGACUCAAGAGCAUCUUCACUGUAACCACAGAGACUUGAUCACAGGCUUUACUCUUCAUCCAUGAAUGGAAUCAGCCUGGCCCAGUAAAGUCAAAAGUGAGGCUGUGAUCUGGCCAGUGUAUAUUUAAAAGAAUUGUGAGAGAAAAUGAAAGCCAUUGACUAAGGAGGAGGGAGUGAUUGAACUCUUUCAGUUCACUAUUUUCUCACUUUACCACUAGCACUGAUGUAUGCAGAGAGAAACAGUUACAGCCUGGCAAUGCUGACU